AUUUAUAAUUUUAUGAAUCUGUGGCAUUGCAUGCAGAUAGGAAUGCCCUUCCAAAGGCAGAAAUUAACACAGAAGUAAAGGAAAAUGGCUGGUGAAGAUUUUUAAAAAAAAGGAAAGAAAAAGGAAGGAGAAAAAGAUGAAGCAAUGAAACAGAAAAAUGAAAAGAGAAAAUGUGCAAAGGAAAAGGUGGAAAGAAAACAGGAAAUAGAAAAAUGAAGUGCAACCUUUGUUAUAUGCUAAGCUAGCCCCUUGCAUCAGUACUGGAAUGCGAAGUACGUGGAGGUUUAGUUCUCCAUUUAACUUUCUGUUUGAAUAGCCAUGCCACGCUGUCCUGUCUGCAAGAAACCUUCUUCAGUUACUAAAUUGUGGUUUUGUGAGUGCUCAUCUCUUCUCCUUUUGGAUAACAGGAAAGGAGCUGAGGGAUGCUAGUCACGCUUUUAGUCUACUGCUUUGAAAAUGUUCACCUCAUGCAAGCUAACUGCAUGAAAGGUGGCUACAAUGAAAACUGUUCACAUUUUAUGUGAUAAAGGCCAUAUCCAGUAACAUAGCCUACUGCGUCGUAUUUACUGACAAACCCAGCAUGACAAGAGAAACAUGGGACCUACUCUUCAUUUGCAUUGAUUCCAGCCAAGAGCUUCAGUUUUCAUGCCUUGCUUCAGAAUUAUUGAUUUCUUUUUCAGUUUCCUGGAGGUAGAAAUAAUGAAGGAGAAAAAAGAACAAAUGAUAAUGCUUCGGAUAAGUCAAGGCAUGACUACUUUAAAAUGCCAAGGCAGCUAAAUAUAUUUGUCCUCGUGGUGUGUAGGGGGGACGUUCAGCUCAGCAAGCAUGAAUUACAUUUUCCUGUUCAAAACCAACUACACAAAUGACCAAAGUAGCAAGUAUAAUAGUUUACUUUUAAACUUUCCCAAAACCUCAAUCACUGGCCCACAUUAAUUUGCAUAGUUAUUAAGAGGAAGGUUUCUGCCAUUCG
rnacentral:lncRNA from 1 species